GACGAACGCUGGCGGCGUGCUUAACACAUGCAAGUCGAACGGAAAGGCCUGCUUUCCCUUGUGGAUUGCGGGUACUCGAGUGGCGAACGGGUGAGUAACACGUGAGUGAUCUGCCCCCAACUUGGGUAUAAGCCUGGGAAACUGGGUCUAAUUCCCGAUAGGACUGCAGGGUGGUGCCUGUGGUGGAAAACGAUUUUCUAGUGGUUGGGGAUGAGCUCGCGGCCUAUCAGCUUGUUGGUGGGGUAAUGGCCUACCAAGGCGGGGAGGGGUAGCCGGCCGGGGAGGGGGGACGGCCACAUUGGGACUGGGAUACGGCCCAGACGGCUACGGGAGGCAGGAGUGGGGAAGAUUGCACAAUGGGCGGAAGGCUGAUGCAGCGACGCCGCGUGGGGGAUGACGGCCUUCGGGUUGUAAACUCCUUUCGACCGCGAGGAAGCCACCUGGUUGGAAGGGUGGUGACGGUAGUGGUAGAAGAAGCACCGGCUAACUACGUG
rnacentral:rRNA from 1 species